GACGUAGGGUCCAAGCGUUGUCCGGAUUUACUGGGCGUAAAGAGCGCGUAGGUGGCUCGUUAAGUGUAGAGUGAAAUCUCUGGGCUCACCCCAGAAACUGCUCUGCAUACUGGCGAGCUGGAGUGAUGAAGAGGUUUGUGGAAUUCCUGGUGUAACGGUGAAAUGUGUUGAUAUCAGGAGGAACACCCAUGGCGAAGGCAGCAAACUGGUCAUCAACUGACGCUGAGGCGCGAAAGCGUGGGUAGCAAACAGG
rnacentral:rRNA from 1 species